UUUCCGUAGGUGAACCUGCGGAAGGAUCAUUAAUAAAUGGUCUACGUUUUUUAAGUAGACGCUUAAUAAUCCUACCCUUUGUGAAUUUGUUUGUUUGAAAUAAUUUUUUUUAAAAUUAUUGAAUGUCUUUCCCUGUUGAAUUGGUUGUCUUUAAUGGCAAGUGAUUCGCAGGGGAGUGUCAAUAAUUUUUAAAAAGACCUUUUUUAAAAUUAAACUUUUUGUAUUCAUUUGUCUAAAAAUUAUUUUUAUAAUAUAAAAACAACUUUUGACAAUGGAUCUCUUGGUUCUCGCAACGAUGAAGAACGCAGCAAAAUGCGAUAAGUAGUGUGAAUUGCAGAAUACGUGAAUCAUCGAAUCUUCGAACGCAUAUUGCACUUUUUUAGUUUACUAAAAAAGUAUGUCUGUUUGAGUAUCAGUAAAAUAUUCUCAUAAAAAACAUUGUUUUUUAUGGUUAUGAGUGUUUUACAACGAUACAAGUUGUUUCACUUUAAAUUUUUUUAAAAUUUGAAUUUUUCUAAUUUUAAAAUAAAAUUGGAUAAAAUUUUCCCGUGAAAAGGAAUAACCUAAACAAUUUUAAUCUUUGAUUAGAAAAUCCAAACUAAAAGGAAAAUUUAACUAAAUAACUUGAUCUCAAAUCAGAUAAGAGUACCCGCUGAACUUAAGCAUAUCAAUAAGCGGAGGAAAAGAAACUAACAAGGACUCCCUUAGUAACGGCGAGUGAAGCGGGAAGAGCUCAAAUUUGAAAUCUUCAAGGUUUUACCUUGACGAAUCGUAGUUUAAAGAAGUGUUUUCUGUUGAAGUUUUGGUAAAAGUUCUUUGGAAUAGGACAUCAUAGAGGGUGAGAAUCCCGUAUUUGACCAUUAUUUUCAGCUGUGUGAUACACUUUCAAAGAGUCGGAUUGUUUGGGAAUGCAGUCCAAAAUGGGUGGUAAAUUUCAUCUAAAGCUAAAUAUUGGCGAGAGACCGAUAGCGAACAAGUACCGUGAGGGAAAGAUGAAAAGAACUUUGAAAAGAGAGUUAAACAGUACGUGAAAUUGUCAAAAGGGAAGCGUUUGACACCAGUGUUGUUUUCUCGAAAAUCAAUUAAAAAAAGUUGGAUUUUGUGUUGUAUUGACCUUAACAGCUUGCUUCACUCUUUUCCUGCUUUUUUUAAUGCACUUUUCGUUUAACAAGUCAACAUCAGUUUCUUUUGUUGUAAAAGGGUCAUUGGAAGGUGGCUUUCUCUUCGGAGAAAGUGUUUAUAGCCUUUGAUCUCUGCAAUCGGAGAGACUGAGGUCUGCAGCGUAGAUCCUUCGGGGUUAGAUACAUUUGUGCUAAGCUACAGCUUUUCAUAGACAACUUGUUGACUAUGUUUAGUCUUGUGACUUACCCGCUUAUGCUAUUUUACCUACGCUUAGGAUGUUG
rnacentral:misc_RNA from 1 species